GAAAUGCGAUAAUUAAUGUGAAUUGCAGAAUUCAGUGAAUCAUCGAGUCUUUGAACGCACAUUGCGCCCCCUGGUAUUCCGGGGGGCAUGCCUGUCCGAGCAUCAUUGCUGCCCUCAAGCACGGCUUGUGUGUUGGGCUUCCGUCCCUGGCAACGGGGACGGGCCCAAAAGGCAGUGGCGGCACCAUGUCUGGUCCUCGAGCGUAUGGGGCUUUGUCACCCGCUCCCGUAGGUCCAGCUGGCAGCUAGCCUCGCAACCAAUCUUUUUAACCAGGUUGACCUCGGAUCAGGUAGGGAUACCCGCUGAACUUAAGC
rnacentral:misc_RNA from 1 species